rnacentral:tRNA from 1 species
UGGAACAUAGCGCAAUUGGUGAGAGCAGGCGUCUGAUCAAACCCCGAAGGGGUGCGACAAGAGCUUCGACGAAGCUCCGAUAAAUAUACGUCAGGUUCCGGGUUCGAGUCCCGGUGUUCCGA